rnacentral:rRNA from 1 species
AGCAGCCGCGGUAAUUCCAGCUCCAAUAGCGUAUAUUAAAGUUGUUGCAGUUAAAAAGCUCGUAGUUGAAUUUCGGGAUCAAUUUAUUGGUCGUGCUAUUGUACGUACUGGUAUCAUUGAUUCCUACCUUCUGACGAACCAUGAUGUCAUUAAUUUGGUGUCAUGGGGAAUCAGGACUGUUACUUUGAAAAAAUUAGAGUGUUUAAAGCAGGCUCACGCUUGAAUACAUUAGCAUGGAAUAACGAAAUAGGACGUUUGAUUCUAUUUUGUUGGUUUCUAGGAUCGACGUAAUGAUUAAUAGGGAUAGUUGGGGGCAUUAGUAUUCAAUUGUCAGAGGUGAAAUUCUUGGAUUUAUUGAAGACUAACUACUGCGAAAGCAUUUGCCAAGGAUGUUUUCAUUAAUCAAGAACGAAAGUUAGGGGAUCGAAGACGAUCAGAUACCGUCGUAGU